ACAUGGAAAGGGCUGUUCCAUUCAUUGUGCCGCUUACAGAUAUGGCAAUCAGGAUUGGCAUGACCCACUUCAGGGGUCCAAGUGUCUGAUCAGCAAAUGUCUGCAGAAAGGAUCACGUACAUUUGCACAUACAUUCACCAACUUUAUUCAGAGGGAGACUCAAUCUUUUAAUGUCCAAACUGAGUGAUGUGUUACCACAGCGACAGCAGGUGAGGAAAGCAUCUGGAGAGGGGAAAGCACUCCGAGGUAGGCGACGUUGGCCAGCAGGUACACGCAGAUCACCAGUGUCAUGGAGAUGAAGAUGGCCAGCGGCAGGUUUCUGCAUAAUCAACACCAGAUUUAUGUUAUUCUUAGUACUAAAAUAUAGUCUAUAAAUCUAGACGAUCAGAA